ACACACACACACGCACACACACACACACACACACACACACACACACACACACACACACACACACACACACACACACACACAGACCCAAAACACCCACAAAAAUUGCCUAAACUCCAAAAAAAUACCUUUGAAAAACACAAGAACCCGAAAACAAUCCCAGGAACCAAACAAAAGAUCCCUAAAAUACUCAAAACAUCCCUAAAAACUCAGACCCCAGCAAACCCCAGUAAACCACAGAGAAGUCCAAUAUAUGCCCCAGAGAACCCCAGUAAACCACAGAGAAGUUCCAUAUAUGCCACAGAAAAUCCCAAUAAACCCCAGUAAUGCCCAGUAAGACCCCAGCAAUCCGCCAAUAGCUCCCCACAAGCUACUUCAACAUUCCAGUCCCUUUACAGAACUUCAAGAGAAUUUCCCACAGAGAAACCUCAUAAAUAAUAACCACUAGACAACACAAAGUAACCUCGUGCAGCGAAGGGUCAGAAUAGAACCCCAUGUUACCCUCGAGAACCCCAGUAACUCAACACAGAAACCCCUAAAGAACCUCAGAAAAUAUUACAACACUGGACAUUCUCUGGGAACACUAAAUACCAGAAACAACCUCAGAAACCUUAUAGAACUCAUGUAAAACCCCCGAAAAAACACAAAGAACCCUUAAAAAAACACUAGGAACUACAGUACAGCCCUAAACAACCCCAGAUAAUGCCAAAGAACCCAUAGACAACCAAAUCCAACCCUUGAAAACCCCAAUAAACCCAAAAGAUCCUACAAUAUACAUAAACCCCAAGACCUUAAGUAAACCCCAAAUAAUAAGAGUACAGCCCUCAGAACCCUAAAAAAAAUAAACCCCAGUGAACCCAGUACGACCCAAAACCCUCCCCCAGAGAACCCCAGAGCCACCUGAUGCCACGACUAACGAAAAACUGAAUCCUGUAUUUUGUAAUGUUGUUGUCAAGUGAGUGUUGUAAAUAAUGUAUCCACUUGUGUAUGUAUAAAUGUACAGGUCACACCUCAACUCACUCAACCUAACCUAACCUCACCUCCUCAUUCAACCUAUCCUAACCUAACCUCGCCUAACCUCAAUCCAACCUAUCCUAACCUAACCUUAACUCACUCAACCUAAUCUAACCUCAGUUCAACCUAACCUAACCUUAACUCACUCAACCUAAUCUAACCUCAACUCACUCAACCUAACCUAACAUAUUCUAACCUCAACUUAACUUAACCUAACCUAAACUCAACUCAGCCUAACCUAACCUAACUUCAACUCAACCUAACGUAACGUAACCUAACCUGACCUCAACUCACUCCUCACUCAACCUCACUUCACCUCAAUCCUUGCUUCACCUGACUCAUUCUAUUACUUUUCAUUGCUUCACCUUACUGUGUAUUUCCUUACUUGUCCUUACCUUACCUGACCUCAAACAACCUGCUUCACCUCCUUACCUUAAUUAUUUGUUCUUACCUGCUUCACUUGACUUAUUCUAUUACUUUUCAUUGCUUCACCUAACUGUUUAUUUCCUUACUUGUCCUCAAAUAACCUGUAUCACCUCCUUACCUAAUUAUUUGUCCUUACCUGCUUCACCUGACUCAUUCUAUUACUUUUCAUUGCUUCACCACUUGUUUAUUUCCUUACUUGUUCUUACCUUACCUGACCUCACCUAACCUCCAUCACCUCCUUACCUAAUUAUUUGUUCUUACCUGCCUCACCUGACUCAUUCUAUUACUUUUCAUUGCCUCACCUUACUGUUUAUUUCCUUACUUGUUCUUACCUUACCUGACCUCAAAUAACCUGCUUCACCUGACUGUUUUUUUUAUUAUUCUACUCUGCCUCAAUUUACUGUUUACCUUCUUACUUGCUCUUUCCUUACCUGAUCUCUCCUAACGUGUAUCACCCACUCACCUACCUUAAUUGUUCUUCCCUGCCUCAUUUGACAGUUUCUAUUAAUAUACAUUGCCUCACCUUAUUGUUUACCUUCUUGUCCUUCCAUUACCUCACGUCUAUCACACCCUUACCUACCUCACUUCUUGUUCUUCCUGCCUCACCUGAUUGUUUCUAUUUCAUUACAUUGCCUUACUUUGUUUACCUUCUUGUCCUUGCCUUACCUGACCUUACCUCACCCUUACCUACCUUAAUUAUUUUGUUUUACCUGCCUCACCUGACUGUUUAUAUUCCUUUACAUUGCCUCAUCUUAUUGUUUACCUUAUACUUGUUCUUGCAUUACCUGACUAAAUGCAAAGGUCACACUUCACCUCACCUGUAUCGCCUUCUUACCUUACUUAAUUAUCUUGUUCUUCCCUGACUCACGUGACUGUUUCCCUUAUUUAGUAUUGCCUCACCUUACUUGUUUGUCCUUACUUCACCUUACUCUUCUUACUUUUAUUUGCUUUGCCUGAUUCUUUUCCUUGCUCUUCUUUGUCUCAUCUUACCGUUUCUCUUGCUUUUCUUUGUCUUAUCUAACUCUCUUACUUUUCCUUACUUCAUCUAUUUUUUUUCUCUAACUUUCUUUGCCUCACCUCGCUUCAUCUGAUUCUUCCUAUGACCUUUCUUAGUCUUACCUUGCUUCACCUCUCUCUCUCUCUCUCUCUCUCUCUCUCUCUCUCUCUCUCUCUCUCUCUCUCUCUCUCUCUCCCUACUUUUCCCUCCUUUACAUGAUUUUCCCUUACUUUUUCCUUCCCUCAACUUGCUUUACUUUACUCCUCUCCUUACUUUUCCGCUCCUCAGUCUUUCUCUCUCUCUCUCUUACGCAUCUUUCCUUUUCGCAUUUUCUUUUCUAUCUUCCUUUUCUUCACCAUUCCCUUCAAUGCCAGCGCUCUAUUUCCUCCCUUUCUUCUCUGCAUUCAUAUCUAUUCCAUCACUUCCUCUCGACUCUCUCUCUCUCUCUCUCUCUCUCUCUCUCUCUCUCUCUCUCUCUCUCUCUCUCUCUCUCAUCUUCUAUACACACUCCAUCCCUCCUCCAGCCUAUUCCAUACACAUCCUCGUACAUAUGUAUAGAUAGCACAUGAAUACACAGGAUUAUGUAUAAAGUGACAUCCGCCUCCUCCUCCUCCUCCUCCUCCUCCUCCUCCAUCUCGUCUCUUUAAUGGGAAGAAUAACUGUAUAUUCCCCACACUUCCAAUCAUACACUCUGUACAUGAAUAUAAAGGCGAUAUUGCAGACAUAAAGCAUCUCUCUCUCUCUCUCUCUCUCUCUCUCUCUCUCUCUCUCUCUCUCUCUCUCUUUAACGUACAUAUUUCCCCAUGUACAGUGUAAGUAUUAAAUCUACGUACAUAUAUUCAAACAUGUGUACUCUCGUGUGUGUGUGUGUGUGUGUGUGUGUGUGUGUGUGUGUGUGUGUGUGUGUGUGUGUGUGUGUGUGUGUGUGUGUGUCCAAACAGACCUCCCAAACAUUUUUAUAUAUUUGUACAAAGCUGUUUCAAGUCAAUAAAGAUGUAUAUAACUAUUA